UACAGGGAACAAUUAAAAAGAGACGGAAGAGCGCUCUUGUCUUACUGAAUGGAUAAAGGGAAAGCUCUGCAGACGUCGUUCCAGAAGCUUAAUUUGAACCCUAAUUCCAAUAAGUCUACCAGUGCCCAUACUAUCCAAUCGCCCAUAUUAACAGUUGAGAAGCGAAAACCUGUUCCAACUUUGGUUACUUUAUGCAUUCAAGUAAUUGGAAGUCAUUACGCGCUGCCCGAUUUUUCAACGGCCAGAGUAAUCUCCACACCUACACACGUAACACACCCAGUCUACUCUGUCUUGAAGUCUAAUUUGGCCCCCUCUGUUCCGGUCGGAGCUCCGAAAGUUCCGGGACAAAGAUGGUUUGCUGAUUGGUGGCUGUUUUUCCAGGAGGAUUGAUGGUUACUUUGGAAGCGAGCAGUUCGUGAUGUUCCUAACGGGAAUUCUUUGCUCAUUCAUUUAAGCUUUAUUGUCUAAACGUCCGGAGUUAUGCUUGCAUGACUUUCGGUUAGAUGAUAAACUUUCUUGAAAGAAAGAAUCCCGGAUGCGGUUUAUUGUAUUUCGAUACAAUUCAUCUACGUAUAUGUAGACCUUACAAAAAAAAAAAAAAAAAAAGAAA